rnacentral:rRNA from 1 species
UUAUAUUGGCAGAAGUUUUCGGACGGACGCGGAUAUAACUUAGUGGCGAACGGGUGAGUAACACGUGAGCAACCUGCCUUUCAGAGGGGGAUAACGGCUGGAAACGGCUGCUAAUACCGCAUAAGCGCACGAAGAGACAUCUCCUAGUGUGAAAAACUCCGGUGGUACAGGAUGGGCCCGCGUCUGAUUAGCUGGUUGGUGAGGUAACGGCCCACCAAGGCGACGAUCAGUAGCCGGCCUGAGAGGGUGAACGGCCACAUUGGGACUGAAACACGGCCCAAACUCC